GGAAGUGGCGGCGUGCGUGCGGCAGUGGAGACGGCGGCGGCGGUGGCUGGCGUCAGGCUGUGGACGAAGAGGCGGCCUCGGUGGUAAGUGGCGGCCGCUGGGACCCAGCCAGGUACCGGUCCGGCUCGGCCCUGCCCCUUUCCGGCCGCUCUCACUCCUUCCCUCGGCCUCGAGUUCCUCGUAGGCCCGUGGGGGCCGCCGCGGGGUCGGGGCUGCGAGGCAGCGCCCGCCGUUCCAUGAGCCUCCCCGCAUCCCGUGCCCCCUGCUCGCUGCUGCCGCUGACCCUUGGGCGCUGCGCUGGUCCAGAGCGUGUUGUCCUCUGACGCCGUCAGAACCUGAGCUCCCUGCGAGCUGGGACUCCGCCGUGUCUUCAUUGCCUCCAGUGCAAAGCAACUGCUUGCAAGAGAACAAAAGUGUGUUCAGGUGCACAGAGUAGAAAAUUCAAGGAGCCUGAAAGGGUAUUUGGUGAAGACUUGAUGUGUUUUUCCCAGUCCUAACCUCCAAGGCCCAGUUCUCCCCUGGGGCAGAGGGAAACCCGUUUCUUACGGGUCUGCAAAGAAAGUCUAUGCAGGAACAUCUACGUGCGUUUCUGCAAAAGGUCAGUUACUUUACUUGGGGCUCUUAUACUUAACGUAGCUCGGAGAGCGCCCCAUGCAUUCAGAUACAGGUGGGAUUCCUCCGGAAACGGAGUUUUAUAGCACCAGACUUUAUCCCCUUUCCUGUAGAAAUUUAGGGUUUUUGCUGUCUUUUAUAACGAACAAUGCUAGCUUGACUAUUGCUUGUACAAACCGUUUUUUGCCCAAGUCGGACUAUUUUCUUAGGUUAAAUUCCUUGGUGCAGAAGUGCGAGGGCUGUAUUUAGGCCCCUAAAGGGGUGGUACCAAAUCGCCCUCCCCCACCAGCAUAAGAGGGGGCCGGCGACACCCUUGCCCAAGCUGGAUUUUGCAGACCUGGUAGGCGUGAGAUAGUAUUUCACUGUAGCUUGUGUUUCCUGUAAGUAUAGUCGAACGUCGUGAUGUUCCUGUUACAUCUAUGUUACGUUGAUCAUUGUUACCACUGACAGUCGUUUCGAGAUUGGAAAAUAUGUUUAUUAUAAACGUUUGACUAUUUAAAAGCC
rnacentral:lncRNA from 1 species